UACGUAGGUGGCAAGCGUUGUCCGGAUUUAUUGGGUUUAAAGGGCGCGUAGGCGGUCUAUUAAGUCAGUGCUGAAAUAUCCCGGCUUAACCGGGAGGGUGGCAUUGAUACUGAUGGACUUGAGUGGAGUCGAGGUAGGCGGAAUUGACGGUGUAGCGGUGAAAUGCUUAGAUAUCGUCAAGAACACCGAUAGUGCAGACAGCUUACUAGGCUCUAACUGACACUGAGGCACGAAAGUGUGGGGAUCAAACAGG
rnacentral:rRNA from 1 species